rnacentral:misc_RNA from 1 species
GGGAUGCUUGACUCUUAUCUUCCUAAAGCAUUAUUGUUCUUAAUGAAAAAGUCUGUUGGAGAAGCUUUUGAAGUAGACUACCAAAGAUGAUAAAUCAUCUUUUAGUUAGCUAUGUUGAUCAUGAUAUUCAAAGUCUCAAGUCAUUUUGGGAUGUCUUAGAAAUAUUUUCCUUUCUAAACAUGUUUCAAGUGUUGGAGUAUGGUUUGUGGGAAUAAGUCCUACAUCGGCAAUGUACAAGAAAAUUAAAGGUCAUAUGAGUGUUGGCAAAUCAAAAGCCAUUUUGGUGAUGGGGAGCCCA